GGGUUGGUAGCUCAAUGGUAGAGCAGUGCCCUCUUAAGGCAUUGGUUGUGGGUUCGAGUCCCACCCAGCUCACCA
rnacentral:tRNA from 1 species